GACGAACGCUGGCGGCGUGCUUAACACAUGCAAGUCGAACGGUAAGGCCCUUCGGGGUACACGAGUGGCGAACGGGUGAGUAACACGUGGGUGAUCUGCCCUGCACUUCGGGAUAAGCCUGGGAAACUGGGUCUAAUACCGGAUAGGACUCCGGACUGCAUGGUCUGGGGUGGAAAGCUUUUGCGGUGUGGGAUGGGCCCGCGGCCUAUCAGCUUGGUGGUGGGGUGAUGGCCUACCAAGGCGACGACGGGUAGCCGGCCUGAGAGGGUGACCGGCCACACGGGGACUGAGAUACGGCCCAGACUCCUACGGGAGGCAGCAGUGGGGAAUAUUGCACAAUGGGCGCAAGCCUGAUGCGGCGACGCCGCGUGAGGGAUGACGGCCUUCGGGUUGUAAACCUCUUUCAGCAUCGACGAAGCGAAAGUGACGGUAGGUGCAGAAGAAGGACCGGCCAACUACGUGCCAGCCGCCGCCGUAA
rnacentral:rRNA from 1 species